CCUCCAUCGAAGCAAGCAAGGGUUCUGUUCGGGAUUAUGUGGGAUCACUUGUCAUCGAAAUGAAGGAGUGAAACAGAAGUUGAACUCUUCACAACAGAGAUUAGACAGAGCUAGUCAAGAGUUAUCUCUUGAUCCGGAGGCCAACUGCACAGGGUUGCAGCGAUUUUAAGUUUAGGGAAAAUCUGUGCCUUGAGUCAAAGUUCAGUCAACAUAUGGCUGAUGAAGAGCAUACCUAAAUUGCAGUCAAAAACAUUUCAUCGCUGAAACGUUCACCGACAGAUGGGAGUACUCGCUGUAAACUUCACCAGUUGAGGAUGAUCUAUCCCAAAUUGCAGAUUUUCAUCAGACUUCCCCUUGAAACCUCCAACAACGAGAAGAAAUACCACUCUGUCGAUAGUUGUGUCUGUUAUCGUAUUGCGUUUCUGAUAAGAUACUCGUUUGGCUGUUUAUCUACAGUCAACGCUGCUUGUAGAAUAAAAUUUCAAUUUUCUCUGCUAGCAAUAUAGCCGAGGUCAAGUGCUAUCCACACUUUUAUCAUCGGCAGCCUUUGGCGGAUGUUAUUAACCAGCUUGGGCAAUUCUUGCCAAAUUUUUUGGUCGGAGUUUAAAGAAUACACGUUAAGAUAAACGCACGGAAA